CCAACUGCAUUCCCUAGUAGCGGCGAGCGAGCGGGAAGAGCUCAAAUUUAUAAUCUGGCACCUUCGGUGUCCGAGUUGUAAUCUCUAGAAAUGUUUUCCGCGUUGGACCGCACACAAGUCUGUUGGAAUACAGCGGCAUAGUGGUGAGACCCCCGUAUAUGGUGCGGACGCCCAGCGCUUUGUGAUACAUUUUCGAAGAGUCGAGUUGUUUGGGAAUGCAGCUCAAAUUGGGUGGUAAAUUCCAUCUAAAGCUAAAUAUUGGCGAGAGACCGAUAGCGAACAAGUACCGUGAGGGAAAGAUGAAAAGCACUUUGGAAAGAGAGUUAACAGUACGUGAAAUUGUUGGAAGGGAAACGCUUGAAGUCAGACUUGCUUGCCGAGCAAUCGGUUUGCAGGCCAGCAUCAGUUUUCCGGGAUGGAUAAUGGUAGAGAGAAGGUAGCAGUUUCGGCUGUGUUAUAGCUCUCUGCUGGAUACAUCUUGGGGGACUGAGGAACGCAGUGUGCCUUUUGGCGGGGGUUUCGACCUCUUCACACUUAGGAUGCUGGUGGAAUGGCUUUAAACGACCCGUCUUGAACCAACGGACCA
rnacentral:rRNA from 1 species